GUCCAGGGUAGUCUAGUGGACAUUGCAUCUUCCCGGUGAGCAGAAAAUUGUGGGUUUGAUUCCCAUCCCUAGACA